CGUGAGUACUAGCUGUUGGGGCCGUUAGGCCUUAGUAGCGCAGCUAACGCGUGAAGUUGACCGCCUGGGGAGUACGGUCGCAAGAUUAAAACUCAAAGGAAUUGACGGGGACCCGCACAAGCGGUGGAUGAUGUGGAUUAAUUCGAUGCAACGCGAAAAACCUUACCUACCCUUGACAUGUCUGGAAAGCCGAAGAGAUUUGGCCGUGCUCGCAAGAGAACCGGAACACAGGUGCUGCAUGGCUGUCGUCAGCUCGUGUCGUGAGAUGUUGGGUUAAGUCCCGCAACGAGCGCAACCCUUGUCAUUAGUUGCUACGCAAGAGCACUCUAAUGAGACUGCCGGUGACAAACCGGAGGAAGGUGGGGAUGACGUCAAGUCCUCAUGGCCCUUAUGGGUAGGGCUUCACACGUCAUACAAUGGUCGGGACAGAGGGUCGCCAACCCGCGAGGGGGAGCCAAUCUCAGAAACCCGAUCGUAGUCCGGAUCGCAGUCUGCAACUCGACUGCGUGAAGUCGGAAUCGCUAGUAAUCGCGGAUCAGAAUGUCGCGGUGAAUACGUUCCCGGGUCUUGUACACACCGCCCGUCACACCAUGGGAGUGGGUUUCACCAGAAGUAGGUAGCCUAACCGCAAGGAGGGCGCUUACCACGGUGGGAUUCAUGACUGGGGUGAAGUCGAAAAGGG
rnacentral:rRNA from 1 species